GAUGAACGCUGGCGGCGUGCCUAAUACAUGCAAGUCGAGCGAACAGAUGAGGAGCUUGCUCCUCUGACGUUAGCGGCGGACGGGUGAGUAACACGUGGAUAACCUACCUAUAAGACUGGGAUAACUUCGGGAAACCGGAGCUAAUACCGGAUAAUAUAUUGAACCGCAUGGUUCAAUAGUGAAAGACGGUUUUGCUGUCACUUAUAGAUGGAUCCGCGCCGCAUUAGCUAGUUGGUAAGGUAACGGCUUACCAAGGCGACGAUGCGUAGCCGACCUGAGAGGGUGAUCGGCCACACUGGAACUGAGACACGGUCCAGACUCCUGAGGGAGGCCGCAGUAGGGAAUCUUCCGCAAUGGGCGAAAGCCUGACGGAGCAACGCCGCGUGAGUGAUGAAGGUCUUCGGAUCGUAAAACUCUGUUAUUAGGGAAGAACAAAUGUGUAAGUAACUAUGCACGUCUUGACGGUACCUAAUCAGAAAGCCACGGCUAACUACGUG
rnacentral:rRNA from 1 species